AUUGAACGCUGGCGGCAUGCCUUACACAUGCAAGUCGAACGGUAGCAUUUUCUAGCUUGCUCGAUUGAUGGCGAUUGGCGAACGUGUGAGUAAUAUAGGUGAACGUGCCCUGUGGGGGGGGAUAACUUUUCGAACGAUUAGCUAAUACCGCAUACGGCCGAAGUUUGAAAGUGUUGGACCACAAGGCCCCAUUCCAUAGGUACCGCCGAUGUCUGAUUAGUUAGUUGGUGAGGUAAAGGUUCACCAAGGCGACGAUCAGUAGCUGGUCUGAGAGGACAAUGAGCCACACUGGGACUGAGAAACGGCCAGACUUCCUACGGGAGGAGGAGGUGGGGAAUUUUGGACAAUGGGCGAAAGCCUGAUCCAGCAAUGCGGCGUGUGGGAAGAAGGCCUUCGGGUUGUAAAGCACUUUUGUCCGGAAAGAAAUGGCUCUGGUUAAUACCUGGGGUCGAUGACGGUACCGGACGAAUAAGGACCGGCUAACUACGUG
rnacentral:rRNA from 1 species